UGAGACCAAUGCUCUAAAAAAAUAUGUCAAAUAGACGUCUCCGCGAUGGAGUUUGAUUGACAGGCGAUCUGACCAAUCACAACAAACACUGGACAAACAAACCAGACAGAAGAAUAGAUUAACGUCGAUGGACUUGUUGUGUAGUGGUGGUGAAAAGUGGUGACAUCUUUCCACGUUUGAAACAAGAUACCUUCUGAUGUUCAUUCAUGUUUAUUUUGUGGUAUUUCGAGGCGCUACAGUGAUCUGCUUUAAAGAACCAAAAAAAAGACUCCAAGUGAGACUAGGAGAAGAUUACCCUUCAUACCAGGUGUGUUAUGGAAGUUACAGUCUAGUUCUGGUGAGGUGAAGACCCAUUACUCUGCAGUCCCAGACUCUGUGCUGACAGCACCACAAAUUGAUUCCACAAGGUUUGCAGAACCAGCCACAAAAGCAUCUGUCUCGCUCCUUGCCACCGCUCUUCCCUGAUGGGCCGCAGAUUCGGCCCCUACCUUCAGCAUACGGUGCUCUCCUGGCAUGAUGCCCGCUGGCCACUCAGGGGAGGACAGCGGUGGUCAUCUGUCAGUGCCAGUCUGUCAGCAGAUAGCGGGCGAUGGAUGGAGCCUUGUGCUCGUCAAUAAAACCCAUUUUGAAAUGAUUGCAGAGACCAGGCCCUCCCACUGAAGUGCAGCGGGGUCUGGCCUUCACCCUCCAUCUCCAAGCAUGGCCUUGUUGGACUCAGAGGGGUAGAUUGAGAUAAGUUUAUGCUGAGGAAUAGUAGGUUUAUGUAUUGUUUACGACGGGAAGAUGACAUCAUUCACUCUGAGCUUGGAAAAACAUCUCAGUACACACACAGUUCACCCAAAAAUUAAUGCUGUCAUCAUUUACUCACCCUAAUGCCAUUCCAAACACAAAUGCAAAACUUUUUAAGAAAACUUCUUAGAAAUGUACUUGAAUUGGUCACUCAACCAAAUGGGAAAUGGAGCUUUCAAACUUCAAAAAGGAUGCAAAGCAUCAUAAAAAUGGUUCAUACUACUUCUGGAGCAGCAUUAUAGCUCUGUAUUGAGCAAAAGUGAACUGAAAAUCUUGACAUUCCUGGGCACUAAAAAAAAAUCAAUGUUUAAUUAGUGAAUGAAACAUUCUUUUGAGUCAGAUCUUUUCAAAAAAAUAGUUUGAUCCAGUUCUCAACUCAAUGAUUUUGACAGUGGCACUAGAGGUGAAUAUUUUCACUGAAUUACUGUUUAAAGUGUAUUCUUUCUUGCAAAAAGACUAGGAAUGUAGCACAUGAGUUGAAAGGACUAUGUUUAAGACACUUUUCUUAUGAAUGUGUGCAAUAUUUGAAACUUCAGAUCUUGGGUUCAUUGUAACUGCAUGGAUGAGAAGCCUAUAGUGUACAGUAAUUAAAAUACUUUUUGUGUUCCAGAGAAGAAAGUAAGUCAGGUUUGAAACGACAUGAGGCUGAAUAGAUAAUGACAGAAUUUUCGUUUUUGGGUGAACUAUUCCUUUGACUGAAUGGAGCAACAGCAAUACCGUUAAAACUAGAAUUAUUGAUCAUCAAAAAAAAAAAAAAAAAGGUUUCCUAUUGACUCUCACUCUUUUAAAACUCUAGACUGUCUUUGAAAAUGAGAGAGACUUGCAGUGAAUAAACUCUCCACGCUCACUGGGUAAAUCUUGUAUAGCGAUGCCAACUUCAAUAUUUAUGCCAUCAGGUCUUGAGUGAAAAGGGCAAACAGUGUAUCAUGUCAAAGACCAACAUUCAUUUUUCUCUUCGAGGAGGGAUUGUGUGAAGGGAAAACGGUGUGUGUGUGUGUGUGUGUUUGAGUGUGUUGUCAGCAUUUAGGUCCAAUUUCCCUCAGCCUGCCAAACAAAUUGCUCCACAUACAAAUGCGAGUGUAU